rnacentral:rRNA from 1 species
AGAGUUUGAUCAUGGCUCAGGACGAACGCUGGCGGCGUGCUUAACACAUGCAAGUCGAACGAUGAUCCGGUGCUUGCACCGGGGAUUAGUGGCGAACGGGUGAGUAACACGUGAGUAACCUGCCCUGGACUCUGGGAUAACCCCGAGAAAUCGGAGCUAAUACCGGAUAGGACCUCGAAUCGCAUGGUUUGGGGUGGAAAGUUUUUCGGUCUGGGAUGGACUCGCGGCCUAUCAGCUUGUUGGUGAGGUAAUGGCUCACCAAGGCGUCGACGGGUAGCCGGCCUGAGAGGGUGACCGGCCACACUGGGACUGAGACACGGCCCAGACUCCUACGGGAGGCAGCAGUGGGGAAUAUUGCACAAUGGGCGCAAGCCUGAUGCAGCAACGCCGCGUGAGGGAUGACGGCCUUCGGGUUGUAAACCUCUUUUAGUAGGGAAGAAGGGCUUCGGCUUGACGGUACCUGCAGAAAAAGGACCGGCUAACUACGUGCCAGCAGCCGCGGUAAUACGUAGGGUCCGAGCGUUGUCCGGAAUUAUUGGGCGUAAAGAGCUCGUAGGCGGUUUGUCGCGUCUGCUGUGAAAUCCCGAGGCUCAACCUCGGGCCUGCAGUGGGUACGGGCAGACUUGAGUGCGGUAGGGGAGAAUGGAAUUCCUGGUGUAGCGGUGGAAUGCGCAGAUAUCAGGAGGAACACCGAUGGCGAAGGCAGUUCUCUGGGCCGUAACUGACGCUGAGGAGCGAAAGCGUGGGGAGCGAACAGGAUUAGAUACCCUGGUAGUCCACGCCGUAAACGUUGGGCGCUAGAUGUGGGGACCUUUCCACGGUUUCCGUGUCGUAGCUAACGCAUUAAGCGCCCCGCCUGGGGAGUACGGCCGCAAGGCUAAAACUCAAAUGAAUUGACGG